rnacentral:rRNA from 1 species
AUUGAACGCUGGCGGCAGGCCUAACACAUGCAAGUCGAGCGAGCGGCGGACGGGUGAGUAAUGUCUGGGAAACUGCCAGAUAGAGGGGGAUAACUACUGGAAACGGUCGCUAAUACCGCAUAAUAUCGGCUGAGCCCAUAUGGGAUUAGCUCGUAGGUGGGGUAACGGCUCACCUAGGCGACGAUCCCUAGCUGGUCUGAGAGGAUGACCAGCCACACGGGGACGGAGACACGGUCCAGCCUCCUACGUGAGGCAGCAGUGGGGAAUAUUGCACAAUGGGCGCAAGCCUGAUUCAGCCAUGCCGCGUGUAUGAAGAAGGCCUUCGGGUUGUAAAGUACUUUCAGCGAGGAGGCGUUACUCGCAGAAGAAGCACCGGCUAACUCCGUGCCAGCAGCCGCGGUAAUAC